rnacentral:lncRNA from 1 species
AGAGUUGGAGGUUCUGGUGCUUUAUUUUUUAAAUAAGGAAGGGAGUAAACAAAGUCUUGCAGAUGAGAGGGGGCUGUAUGUAUUCUAGAGGAUCUUCUAGGAGCAGAUGUGGUGGUGAGAAACUGAUUAUCAGAGGGAGGUAUAUGUUCAGUAGAUGAGAGAUGGGGUGAGUGAGGUGGAGGUAUAACAGUAGUAGAACUAGGUGAAGUAUCUAGAGUAGGCACAGAUGGUAAAGUGUUCUCAUCUUGCAACUGCCAUUUACUCAAAAUGUUAUCUGUGGAAAAACCAG